GGAUGCUUAGCUCAGUGGUAGAGCACUGCCUUCACGCGGCAGGGGUCACAGGUUCGAAUCCUGUAGUAUCCACCA
rnacentral:tRNA from 1 species